rnacentral:rRNA from 1 species
AGGAUGGCCCCCGUCUUGGAAGGUGCGGUUUGGCGGCGGGCCGUCGAUGGUUGUCGAACACGCACGCGUGGUGGAUGCCUUAAUGCGAGCCGUGCCGUCUUGCCGCCGGGGACGGCGAGGCCUCGAGGACCCAAAGUCGUGGGUGAGAGUCGAUGCCCACGGACCGCGACCCAGGUCAGGUGGGGCUACCCGCUGAGUUUAAGCAUAUAAAUAAGCAGAGGAGAAAAAACUUACAAAGAUUCCCUUAAUAGCGGCGAACCGAAGGAUCAGCCCGGCCUUUGAAAUCGGGCAUCUCAUCGUCAAAUGUAUGGAGGAAGCGUCCUGACCGGACGGGCCCAAGUCCCUGGAAAAGGCGUCGGGGGAAAGUGAAACCCCGUCCAUUUCGGACCCUGUCGCUUUCGAAAGCGCUGUCGACGAGUCGAGUUGUUUGGGAAUGCAGCCCCAAUCAGGCGGUAAAUUUCGUCAAAGGCUAAAUAUGGGCGAAAGACCGAUAGCGAACAAGUACGCGAGGGAAAGAUGAAAAGGACUUCGAAAAAGAGAGUCAAAAAGUGCUUGAAAUUGCUGGGAGGGAAGCGGAUGGGGGCGGCGAUGCACCUCGGUCGGAUGCGAAGCGGCGGUUAGCGGUCCCCUUUCAAUCGAGUGCGGAUCGUCUGGCUGCAUCGGCAAUGGCCGGCGACGGACGGAUCGUUCGUUCGAGGGGAUACCGUCGAUGCGAUUCGAGGACAUGGCGCAGCGCCAUCGGCGUGCCCGCGGGUACACCGCGUGCGACUCCAGGCAUCGACGAUGGGCUCCCCAUCCGGCCGUCUUGAAAACGGACCAAAAUUCGACAUGCGUGCGAAGUCGGCCAAAGCGGAAACCCGGAAAGGCACAAAGGAAGCUUGCGGGCGGGGAACCCCUCGGGGGUUGGUUGCACCGCCGACCCGAUCUUCGUGAAGGGUUCGAGUUGGAGCAUGCAUGUCGGGACCCGAAAGAUGGUGAACUAUGCUGGCGGCGAAGAAGGAAAUUCUGGUGGAGGCCCGGCGAUCUUGACAUGCAAAUCGUUCGUCGACUUGGGUAUAGAGGCGAAAGACUAAUCGAACCAUCUAGUAGCUGGUUCCCUCGAAGUUUCCUCGGGGAUAGCUGGAGCCCGUCGGCGAGUUCUAUCGGGUAAAGCCAAUGAUUAGAGGCAUCGGGGAAGCAGCGCCCUCGACCUAUUCUCAAACUUUAAAUAGGUAGGGCCGGCUGGCUGCUGUUGGCAGCGUCAGCGAAUCGAAACUCAAGUGGGCCAUUUUGCAAGCGAAGCUGGCGAUGCGGGAUGAACAGGAAGCCAGGUUAUGGUGCCCAAGCUAGCGGCGCUAACCGGACACCACAAAGGGUGUUGGUUGAUUAAAACAAUUUGGGCCGGUGGUCAUGGAAGUCGAAAUCUGCUAAGGAGUGUGUAACAACUCACUUGCCGAAUCAACUAACCCCGAAAAUGGAUGGCGCUGAAGCGCGCGACCCCACCAAACCAUCGGGGCGGCGUAAACCUCGAUGAGUAGGGCGUGGCGGUCGCCAUAAAACCAAGCCUUGAGGCCGCGAGCGGCCGUCGGUGCAGAUCUUGGUGGUAGUAGCAAAUAUUCAAAUGAGAACUUUGAAGGCCGAAGAGGAAAAGGUUCCAUGUGAGCGGCACUUGCACAUGGGUUAGCCGAUCCUAAGGGCCGGGGAAGCCCGUCCGAGAGUAUCUCCGCGAAGCUCGAAAGGGAAUCGGGUUAAAAUUCCGAGCCGGGCCUUGGCGGUGGGACGGCAACGUUAGGAAGUCCCGGACGCGUCGGCGGGGCUCCGGGAAGAGUUAUCUUUUCUGCUUAACGGCCCGCCCACCCUGGAAACGGCACAGCCGGAGGGUAGGGUCCAGCGGUCGGGGAGAGCGCCGACGUCGCGGCGUCCGGUCGCGCCGGCGCCCUUGAAAAUCGGAGGACCGAGUGCCGCCGCCCCGGUCAUUACUCAUAACCGCAUCAGGUCUCCAAGGUGAACAACCCGGCCCAUGGAACAAUGUAGGCAAGGGAAGUCGGCAAAACGGAUCGUAACCGGAAAAGGAUUGGCUCGAGGGCUGGCACGGGGUUCCCCCCGAACCGUCUUUUGUCGGUGGACGGGCUCGAGCUGCUCUCCGGAGAGAGGUGGCCGCCGAUGCCGGCGUGGGGGGACGGACCGGGAAUAGCCCUCGGGGCCUUCCGGCGUCGAACAGCAAACUUCAGAACCGUAAUGCGGACAAAGGGAAUCCGUUUAAUUAAAAGAAAGCAUUGCGAUGGUCCCAUGCGGAUGCUCGUUUAAUGUGAUUUCUGCCCGGUGCUCUGAAUGUCAAAGUGAAGAAAUUCAACCAAGCAUGGGUAAAUCAGGGAGUAACUAUGACUCUCUUAAGGUAGCCAAAUGCCUCGUCAUCUAAUUAGUGGCGACAUGAAUGGAUUAACGAGAUUCCCAUCGUGUCCAUCUACUAUCCAGUGAAACCAAAGCCAAGGAGCGGGCUUGGCGAGAAUCGUGAGGAAAGAAGACCUGUUGAGCUUGACUCUAGUCGACUUUGUGAAAUGACUUGAGAGGUGUAGGAUAAGUGGGGCCGGUUCGCGGCGAAAGUGAAAAUACCACUACUUUUAACGUUAUUUUACUUAUUCCGUGCGUCGGGAUGAGGGCCCGGCCCCUCCUUUGGACCCAAGCCCGCCCUAGCGGGCCGAUCCCGGCGGAAGACAUUGUCGGUGGGGAGUUUGGUGGGGCGGCACUGUUAAAAGAUAACGAGGUGUCCUAAGAUGAGCUCAACGAGAAUAGAAAUCUCGUGUGGAAUAAAAGGGUAAAAGCUCGUUUGAUUACGAUUUCCAGUAUGAAUCGAACCGUGAAAGUGGCCUAUCGAUCCUUUAGACCGGAAUUUGAAGCUAGAGGUGUGGAAAAAGUUACCACCGGGGAUAAGCGGCUUGUGGCAGCCAAUAGCGUUCAUAGCGGCGUUGCUUUUUGAUCCUGCCGAUGUGGCUCUUCCUAUCAUUGUGAAGCAGAAUUCACCAAGUGUUGGAUUGUUCACCCACCAAUAGGGAACGUGGUGGGUUUAGACCGUCGUGAGACAAGGUUAGUUUUACCCUACUAAUGAUGGAUGUCGCGAUAGUAAUUCAACCUAGUAAUGAGAGGAACCGUUGAUUCACACAAUUGGUCAUCGCUUGGUUUGCAAAAGCCGAUGGCGUGAAGCUACCGUGGUGUCGGAUUAUGACGCCUCUCAAGUCGAGAAUCCUAAGCUAGCAACCGUGACACCCAUCAUUUCGGAAUUUUUAGUAUAAGUUUCUAGUUGUAAUGUAGGUAUCUAUUUUAAAUUUGAUAAAAGGUCAAAGUAUGAAUC